GGAUUGUGGCUCAGUGGCAGAGCGCUCGCCUAGCAUGUGUGGGGCCCUGGGUUCAAUUCUCAGCACCA
rnacentral:tRNA from 1 species